AUUGAACGCUGGCGGCAUGCCUUACACAUGCAAGUCGAACGGCAGCACGGGGGCAACCCUGGUGGCGAGUGGCGAACGGGUGAGUAAUGCAUCGGAACGUGCCCAGUAGUGGGGGAUAACCCGGCGAAAGCCGGGCUAAUACCGCAUACGACCUACGGGUGAAAGCGGGGGACCGUAAGGCCUCGCGCUAUUGGAGCGGCCGAUGUCUGAUUAGCUAGUUGGCGGGGUAAGAGCCCACCAAGGCGACGAUCAGUAGCUGGUCUGAGAGGACGACCAGCCACACUGGGACUGAGACACGGCCCAGACUCCUACGGGAGGCAGCAGUGGGGAAUUUUGGACAAUGGGCGCAAGCCUGAUCCAGCCAUGCCGCGUGCGGGAAGAAGGCCUUCGGGUUGUAAACCGCUUUUGGCAGGAACGAAACGGCGCAAGCCAAUACCUUGCGCUAAUGACGGUACCUGCAGAAUAAGCACCGGCUAACUACGUGCCAGCCGCCGCAGUAAUAC
rnacentral:rRNA from 1 species